rnacentral:rRNA from 1 species
GGAGGAUCCAAGGCGUUGUCCGGAUUUAUUGGGUUUAAAGGGUGCGUAGGCGGAUAAUUAAGUCAGUGGUGAAAUCUUGCGGCUCAACCGUAAAAUUGCCAUUGAAACUGAUUAUCUUGAGUACAGUUGAGGUGGGCGGAAUGUAUCAUGUAGCGGUGAAAUGCUUAGAUAUGAUACAGAACACCUAUUGCGAAAGCAGCUCACUAAACUGCAACUGACGCUGAGGCAACGAAAGCGUGGGGAUCAAACAGG